UACGUAGGGGGCGAGCGUUGUCCGGAUUUAUUGGGCGUAAAGAGCGUGUAGGCGGCCAGGUAGGUCUGCUGUGAAAACUCGAGGCUCAACCUCGAGACGUCGGCGGAAACCAUCUGGCUAGAGUCCGGAAGAGGAGAGUGGAAUUCCUGGUGUAGCGGUGAAAUGCGCAGAUAUCAGGAAUAACACCCGUGGCGAAGGCGGCUCUCUGGGACGGUACUGACGCUGAGACGCGAAAGCGUGGGGAGCGAACAGG
rnacentral:rRNA from 1 species